CGUGACCCGAGCUGCGGCCGUGCGCCCCCGGUGCCGGGCCGGCCGCGGGAGGGACGGCGGGCCCCAGGCCAGGCGCCGGGCGGGUCCGGACCUUGCUGAGCGCCCGCCGCCCUCCCUCGCGGGUUGAGACCCGUAGAAAGUGGCCUCCCGCCUCUGGCCACGCGUUGUUUUUGCUUUAAAAAGCGGGUCGGCUGCCCCUCAUUCCCUGGUCGGGUGUGGCCGAAAGGCGGCUUCCGAAGCGCGGUGGUGUGAAUGCCGCUGCUUAGCCGGGGGCCCGGUGGGAACAGGCAUUCCUAGACCUGGUCCGCGGGCUCCAUACGCGGCCAGCCAGUGACCUUAGUUUUCCACACUCGAGUUAGGCGGGGACCGGGGAGGGGGACGGUAAAUGGGUUUUGGGGGUUCCUGGCCACGCGUAGGCCUGGUGGCAGGGUCUCUGAACGCCGAAUGCAAGCGGAACAGCCCACGAGAAGUGGCUCCUUGUGGGUUCGCUGGGGUUUUAGAAAGGGCUGCUUUCCUUUUUCUCUAGGGAGUUUGCUAGAGACCGAGCACCUGGGAGGGCGUCCUGGGGUCUCAGCUCUUGGGUGGCCUCGGUUGGUGAGGCGGUCCGGCCUUUGACAGCAGGAGGUAGGAGUGGGUCGCCGACAAGCAGGGAUGAGCAGAAGAGGGUAUUUGUUCCUUAAUCCAGGAAGGAAGGGGACUGCCAGCCUGUGCACGUGGGCCAGAAUAACACCGUCACCGUCCAGACCGAGGUGGAGAGGAGACGCUGGCCCCACCAGGUGGAGAGCCCAGCCAGCCCAGCCAGGCGAGAUCCAGGCCGUCCGCUCAGGGUGAGACACUCCCUGAUACAAAGCAGAGAAGUAGCAAGGUAUUUUGCAUUGCUUUCUGAAACGCUUGUGCAGAGUGUUGGCGUGUUGGAAAGCGGUCCUGUGUUGUGGGUCUGCGGGGCGAGGCGGGGAGUGUUGAACUGUUAAUUGAGCCCCCUCUGACUGCAAAAACUCCAAGAAAAGUAAACGUGAUUGAGAGCAGAGACAAGGGGUCAAGAUCCAUCGGGGGGCCAGGGCCUCCACUUUUGAUGCAGUGAUUGUUGGCAGAGCAGCCUCGCCUCUGCUUUCAGAGGAGGAGCCCCCGCUCGGAGGCCGCCCCGCGCGGGGGUCUCGGGUCCUCAUUCUUCCUCCCCGGCCACUGCGUCCCUCGGGGAGCAAAGGCUUCGGCAGCAGAGGUUUCGAACUGCCCGGAGUCCGUGAUUCUAAACUGCUGCUUGUGCCGCGUGCGGACUGUUUCCCCCGCACACGAGGGAGGAAAGUCCGGACGGGGAGAAGUUAUUUCAACUAAGGUAGGACGGGUGCUAAGAACUAACACUGAAAACGCGGUAGGACGGCCGGAAUUGGGAACAGUUUUAAGCAAACGGUGGUGAAGUAAGCUGAAGGAUUUAAUGCUUUUAUGUUUCAAUAAAACUGUUGCUCUGUUGGCAAAACUCGAGACUAAAUCGGUCUUGAAUAAGCCGUCUUGACUUGGCUUCUCCUCAGUCUGCUUAGCGGAGGCCCCGUGGCGACGGGGUGGGUGGGCGCACGCACCGGUGGGUAUGGGGGUGGGGCGGCUUUGCUCCGCUGGGCUGCCACCUGGUUGUUUGACCGGGUGACAUUUAGAGAAGGGCGUGGGCUGGGGUGUCCGCCCCAAGUUCCUGAGUCACUUCCCAGGCAGGGUUUUAAAUAACCCCUUGGAGUUCAGCCUACAAAAGCCCACGGCCUCGGGAGUUGUCCCCAGUGACCUGGGGCAGGGAGGUGUGCUUACCCCAGCCC
rnacentral:lncRNA from 1 species